UACGUAGGGGGCAAGCGUUGUCCGGAAUCAUUGGGCGUAAAGCGCGUGUAGGCGGUCCGAUAAGUCGGUUGUGAAAGUCCAGGGCUCAACCCUGGGAUGCCGACCGAUACUGUCGGACUAGAGUUCGGAAGAGGCGAGUGGAAUUCCCGGUGUAGCGGUGAAAUGCGCAGAUAUCAGGAAGAACACCAAUGGCGAAAGCAGCUCUCUGGGACGGUACUGACGCUGAGACGCGAAAGCGUGGGGAGCAAACAGG
rnacentral:rRNA from 1 species